GGGCCCCGCGGGGGGGGGGGGGCAGCGGGACGCGCUCAGUCACGUGGCCAGGUGGAGCACUGACUCCCACUGCGCGUCCUCCAGCCGGGAGCAGUACUUGGUUUUGCUCAGCUUCAUGAUGGAGAAGAGCUGCUCGCAGACGUGGGUGCUCCCAAACAUGGAGAGGACCUUGGCGCAGUGGGCGCUGUACUUGGGGUAGCUGCUCUGCAGGUACUUGCAGAACUCGGGGACCCCGACCUUGUCGUACUUGGCCUUGAGCCCCGUGUUGCACUGCAGGUCGAUGACCUCCAUCUGCAGCGCUUCAUGCACGCUCUCGAUCUUCACCGAGAAAGGGGAGCUGAACAGGGUCAGUUCGCUUUCGCAGAGCUUGAAGUCAGACACCCUUUUCUGGAAUUCCGUCUUCAGUUCCCCGAUCUUGGGAAUGUAGUUCAGGCCAUCGCUUUCAUUUCUGGAGACUGACUUCAGCGUGGGGAAGUGGGCCAGGUUAUUCCUCGCCAGGUGAGUUUCCCAAAGGCACAGCUUGGCCAGGAACGCCCGGAUCAAGUCGUACAUCUGUGUGACGACCUGCGAGUGCCCUUGCAGGGACAUGUUCAAGGUGUUCAGAUGCGUGGUCAUAUCGACCAGGAAGGCCAAGUCUCGGAUCCAGUCCUGAGAGCUCAGCUGAGGCAGGGGCUUUCCUCUGGACGACAUGAAGGAAUCGAUUUCUUCCAGUGACUCAAAAAACCUCUUGAGCACCAGCCCGCGGCUGAGCCACUUGAUCUCGGUGUAGUAGAGCAGGCUGCCGUACUGGCCGUCCAGCUCGUACAGCAGCGUCGUGAACUCGCUGUGGUUCAGACCGCGCGAGCAGACCCAGUUCACGGAGUUCACCACCACGCUCAUGACGUGGUCCAUCUUCAGCUUCUGCGCACAAAGGGAUUCUGGGUGGAUGAUGCAGCGCACGGACUUCAGGUCCGAGUCCUUGCAAACCGCUGCCACCUUGGACUUGAGUUUUGUGACUAGCCCGUCGUUGGCGUCUACCAUCGUGGGGGUGCCAGUCGAGGCCACGCUUACCAGUUUCGACCAGUCGAUGUGAAACUUCUUAAGACUUUUCUCAACACGCAGAAAGAUCUCGUUGCCAGAUUUUGUACCCGUCAUGGGCACCGUGUCCAAGAGCUCUUCCGAUACGUCGAAAUUCUCAUCCACGCCCCGGAUGAAUAUGGCCAGCUGGGUGGUGUUGUUUAUAUCCGUGAUCUCAUCGAUUGCAAGGGAAUAAGCCACAAAUGACUUGAUUUUUUCCCGUAGCUUCUCCCAUAACUUCCCAGCCACGUCUUCUACGGGCUGCACGGCAGCGUUUUCACUGGGACUCGCGUUCACAAACACUGGUUUCUGCUCGGGACCCGUGACUUCUGAGGACCCCAGGAGGUCUCCAGAGAACUUUGAAAUAACAGGGAAUUGGAGGACCACAGAAAGCGAGUGAUUUACCUGCUGUGAGUCACAGAGGACCAUGGUCACAGGAGAACUUACUGUUUGAAAUUUAAAGAAGUCUGGCCACGAAGCAGGUGGGCUCUACUUGGGAGAAAACACAGGCCUGAAAAUUCACUUUCAUAAAAUGAAGGCCGAGAUAAAGUUAAGUCGGUGGUUGCCGGGGGCUGGGAGCAGAGACGGGAAGUGAUGGAACGUGGGUAAGAGAAGUGUUUGGGGGGGGGGCGGUGACAGCAAUGUCCUAAUAUUAGAUUGUGGUGACAGCUGCAUGUUGCACAACUUUGUAAAUUUACUAAAAAUCACUGAUGGGUGUGCUCUUCACCCGAGUGAAUUUUAUGGCACGUAAACUAUUUUUAAGCUACAACAAAAAUGUCAAAAAAAAAAAAGAUCACUUAGCAACAA